rnacentral:rRNA from 1 species
UACGAAGGGGGCUAGCGUUGUUCGGAUUUACUGGGCGUAAAGCGCACGUAGGCGGAUCGUUAAGUCGGGGGUGAAAUCCUGGAGCUCAACUCCAGAACUGCCUUCGAUACUGGCGAUCUUGAGUUCGGGAGAGGUGAGUGGAACUGCGAGUGUAGAGGUGAAAUUCGUAGGUAUUCGCAAGAACACCAGUGGCGAAGGCGGCUCACUGGCCCGAUACUGACGCUGAGGCACGAAAGCGUGGGGAGCAAACAGG